GACGAACGCUGGCGGCGUGCUUAACACAUGCAAGUCGAACGGAAAGGCCCUGCUUUUGUGGGGUGCUCGAGUGGCGAAAGGGUGAGUAACACGUGAGUAACCUGCCCUUGACUUUGGGAUAACUUCAGGAAACUGGGGCUAAUACCGGAUAGGAGCUCCUGCUGCAUGGUGGGGGUUGGAAAGUUUCGGCGGUUGGGGAUGAACUCGCGGCUUAUCAGCUUGUUGGUGGGGUAGUGGCUUACCAAGGCUUUGACGGGUAGCCGGCCUGAGAGGGUGACCGGCCACAUUGGGACUGAGAUACGGCCCAGACUCCUACGGGAGGCAGCAGUGGGGAAUAUUGCACAAUGGGCGGAAGCCUGAUGCAGCAACGCCGCGUGCGGGAUGACGGCCUACGGGUUGUAAACCGCUUUCGCCUGUGACGAAGCGUGAGUGACGGUAAUGGGUAAAGAAGCACCGGCUAACUACGUG
rnacentral:rRNA from 1 species